UUAUCAGCGCUCCAUCGGCGCGCAACGAUCCCCGAUCCCCUACCCGUGAUUCCUGCGACUGUUCGUACCCAGACCGAGUCCGUGGUCCGUGUGGUGGCAGUUCCCCGUUCCCCUGGCAUUGGUGCUGCAGUUUCAUUUUGUGACCGACACUAACGGGUAAUGUAAUGGCUGGCCGCAGGACCCUACUCGUUUUGGCGAUCACAAUACUGAAAUUGCAGCAAAGAGCAGCGAAUAAAAUGUGUGUGUGUGUGUGUGUGUGUGUGUGCGUUCGUGCGUGCGCGGAGAAACAGUGUGAAAAGUGAUGUGAUUAAGGGAAAACAGACCGAAUGAGAACUGUCGAAUCAAGUAUAGCCACAUAUUCGGUGUUGCGCGAUCGAGUGAAUUUCAAACUGCAAAAGGUUUGCACCCGACGAAGGUGAGAGCGCAGACUGAUUAACUAAUCAGCGAUCCGCCGAUGUGUGUGUGUGUGUGCUCAGAUUGAUACUGUGUGGAAAUGUCACAGGAACGAGCAUUGAGAGUAUUUACGGAUGUCGCAAAUAUCAAGAACAGGCAAAAUGUUACAGCAAAUGGAAUUUCUGGUUGAUGAUUUCACACACAUCGGUCGGUAUAAUCGGCUACGACUAUUUGCACAUUCUCUUUGAUGGAAGAAACUGAUAGCUGCCUAUUGUAAGUUCAGCCAGUCAGUCAGUCAGUCAGCUGUCGAAGUAGAUGAUUCCAUUUCCGAAUUCCAAAAUAACAUCCUGCUCAUUAUUUCCUUCAUGUUUAUUGUCGGGCUGUUUGGUUGGGAAAUAACAAAUUACAAGUCGCUGAAUAAAUUGGGUUUGUUUUCCAGGAACCUGUGUGGGUGGCUGCCUGCUUGAUAUGUAUUGUAAAUGGAAAUUUUUCAACUGACAGGAGCAUCGGCGGGGCAGCGGCAGUGUCACAAAUAGUGGCCCAAAAACAUGAAACGAACAGAGGGCCCUUACCCACCACCCCCCAACCAUUCAUCCUAAAUACACGCACCGACACGGGUCGGGAGGAUACAUAAACAUGUCAGAUACGUUGUGUGUCUAGCAGAUACAUUUACAUUUCCCCAUAACAACCAGCGACAUUUGUGCGUGGCUCGUUUUGUAUUCUGUAUUCUAUGUUCUGCUUUUGUGCCCCCAAAAUUCUGUUCCCAAGGACCCGCUUUUCCCUCCCAUUAUCCUGUCGGGAAGCGUUAGGAAUUAUCUCCGUUCUGGACAUCUCCUACUGAUAGCACACGUUGCCUUGGUUAUUAUUUAUAUUUUUGGCUGAAAUCCAUACAUUAUUAAAGGACAUCCAUGUCACUACUUCUGCCCCCCAAAAUUCUGUACGCAAGUGUCACGAUUUGUAUUGAUUUUUUGCUCCGCACAAUGUUUGCCAUUUCUUGAUGACUUUCUUUACGGCUUUGAUGGCUGCUGAUGGUCCAAACUGCCUUAUUGUGGGCUAAUAGAGCGCAAUGGCAUUUACUGGUUAUCCUUGUGCUCUCAAGCCCUUGAAGUGUCCUGCAUUAAAGUUUAAGUCCCAUCAAUCGAAAGU